rnacentral:rRNA from 1 species
AUUGAACGCUGGCGGCAUGCUUUACACAUGCAAGUCGAACGGUAACAGGCCGCAAGGUGCUGACGAGUGGCGAACGGGUGAGUAAUGCAUCGGAACGUGCCCAGUCGUGGGGGAUAACUACUCGAAAGAGUAGCUAAUACCGCAUACGAUCUAUGGAUGAAAGCGGGGGACCGUAAGGCCUCGCGCGAUUGGAGCGGCCGAUGUCAGAUUAGGUAGUUGGUGGGGGAAAGGCUCACCAAGCCAACGAUCUGUAGCUGGUCUGAGAGGACGACCAGCCACACUGGGACUGAGCCACGGCCCAGACUCCUACGGGAGGCAGCAGUGGGGAAUUUUGGACAAUGGGCGCAAGCCUGAUCCAGCAAUGCCGCGUGCAGGAAGAAGGCCUUCGGGUUGUAAACUGCUUUUGUACGGAACGAAACGGCUCUGGUUAAUACCCGGGGCUAAUGACGGUACCGUAAGAAUAAGCACCGGCUAACUACGUG